GACGAACGCUGGCGGCGUGCUUAACACAUGCAAGUGGAGCGACGAACCGGGCUUCGGCCCGGGCAAAGCCGCGAACGGGUGAGUAACACGUGGGUAACCUGCCCCGAUGACUGGGAUAACCCGAGGAAACUCGGGCUAAUACCGGAUGUGCUCACAUCACAUCAGUGUUGUGAGUAAAGGUAGCUUCGGCCUCCGCAUCGGGAUGGGCCCGCGGCGCAUUAGCUUGUUGGUGGGGAACGGCCUACCAAGGCGACGAUGCGUAGCUGGUCUGAGAGGACGAUCAGCCACACUGGGACUGAGACA
rnacentral:rRNA from 1 species